AUGGAGAGUUUGAUCCUGGCUCAGGACGAACGCUGGCGGCGUGCUUUAUACAUGCAAGUCGAACGAUGAAGUUCCUUCGGGAAUGGAUUAGUGGCGAACGGGUGAGGAACACGUGAGAAACCUGCCUUUCAUUCUGGGAUAACACCGGGAAACCGGUGCUAAUACCGGAUACUCCAUCUUGGCGGCAUCGCCGAGCUGGGAAAAAAUUUUGAUGAAAGAUGGUCUCGCGGCCUAUCAGCUAGUUGGUGAGGUAAAGGCUCACCAAGGCGACGACGGGUAGCCGGCCUGAGAGGGCGACCGGCCACACUGGGACUGAGACACGGCCCAGACUCCUACGGGAGGCAGCAGUAGGGAAUAUUGGGCAAUGGGCGAAAGCCUGACCCAGCGACGCCGCGUGAGGGAUGAAGGUCUUCGGAUUGUAAACCUCUUUCAGUAGGGAAGAAGCGAAAGUGACGGUACCUAAAGAAGAAGCACCGGCUAACUAUGUGCCAGCAGCCGCGGUAAUACAUAGGGUGCAAGCGUUGUCCGGAAUUAUUGGGCGUAAAGAGCUCGUAGGUCGUUUG
rnacentral:rRNA from 1 species